AGUGGCGAACGGGUGAGUAACACGUGGAUAACCUGCCUCAAGGCUGGGGAUAACAUUUGGAAACAGAUGCUAAUACCGAAUAAAACUUAGUAUCGCAUGAUACAAAGUUAAAAGGCGCUACGGCGUCACCUAGAGAUGGAUCCGCGGUGCAUUAGUUAGUUGGUGGGGUAAAGGCUUACCAAGACAAUGAUGCAUAGCCGAGUUGAGAGACUGAUCGGCCACAUUGGGACUGAGACACGGCCCAAACUCCUACGGGAGGCUGCAGUAGGGAAUCUUCCACAAUGGGCGCAAGCCUGAUGGAGCAACGCCGCGUGUGUGAUGAAGGCUUUCGGGUCGUAAAGCACUGUUGUAUGGGAAGAAAUGCUAAAAUAGGGAAUGAUUUUAGUUUGACGGUACCAUACCAGAAAGGGACGGCUAAAUACGUGCCAGCAGCCGCGGUAAUACGUAUGUCCCGAGCGUUAUCCGGAUUUAUUGGGCGUAAAGCGAGCGCAGACGGUUGAUUAAGUCUGAUGUGAAAGCCCGGAGCUCAACUCCGGAAUGGCAUUGGAAACUGGUUAACUUGAGUGUUGUAGAGGUAAGUGGAACUCCAUGUGUAGCGGUGGAAUGCGUAGAUAUAUGGAAGAACACCAGUGGCGAAGGCGGCUUACUGGACAACAACUGACGUUGAGGCUCGAAAGUGUGGGUAGCAAACAGGAUUAGAUACCCUGGUAGUCCACACCGUAAACGAUGAAUACUAGGUGUUAGGAGGUUUCCGCCUCUUAGUGCCGAAGCUAACGCAUUAAGUAUUCCGCCUGGGGAGUACGACCGCAAGGUUGAAACUCAAAGGAAUUGACGGGGACCCGCACAAGCGGUGGAGCAUGUGGUUUAAUUCGAAGCAACGCGAAGAACCUUACCAGGUCUUGACAUCCUUUGAAGCUUUUA
rnacentral:rRNA from 1 species